UUAAGUCUGGUUAUAAUUAGGUUUAGUUUGGUUUAUCAAUCGGUAAGGUAUAGAGUAAACCGACUAAACCCAGUUCCGUGGGAUUAUGGAUCUCGAACUAUUUAUUCGGGGACAUAUAGCUAUGGAACUUUCCUUUCUGGGAGAAAUAGGAGUAUAACUACCAAUUCAUGGAUAUAUAGACCGAGGUCAAAGUUUGGGCUAUAUCUAGCAUGAUGCGAUACUUCUAGUGGGGAAAUAUACCGUUUUUCCGCUUUCUGCGUUCCAGUUUUCUCAUAGUCUAGGAUUCGAUUAUCAAACAGAAAGGCUAAAUGCUUUUUGUGGACUGUGGACAC
rnacentral:sRNA from 1 species